GGCAGUUACAACUGUCAAAGUAACUGCCUCAUCAACUUAGCUCUUCUUUAAAUAGUAGCUAAAUCUCUUUCUUUCAUUGUAAUCAGAAAUACAGAAACAAUUCUAAUAAGAAAUUCAAUUCUCUCUUCUUUCUUUUCUUUCAUUUUCCAUUCUUUACAUCAACCAACAUCAGAGUAACAAUAUAAGCUUUUACAAGAACUCUCCAAACCAAGCUCUGGAUCAUCAAAAAUAGGGGGCCACAACCAAGCUAUUACUCCCCCAUUGAUAUGGAAAAGUAAGUCAAACGUGAUUCUUGUGCCCUGACUCAUGAUUCCUAAACAAAAAAUAGUACAAGUCCAAAAUAGACAAAUCCAGAAGUUCAUAAUUAAGGAUGUAAGAUAACAAACACCAUACUUGAUAUGUCCCACCACAACUCCCACAUACAAGUUAUCUCUGUGUAACGAAAGCACAAGAAUUCAAAAUCCAGGAAGGUUUACCAAAUUCAUAGUUCGCGUAGCAAAAGAAACAUUCUAAAGCUCCUCGGAAAACUUGAAGCUAGAAAACUUCGCAUUCCAAACCAAGUCGCAGAUCAUGCACAACCAAGCUAUCCCAUGUUCCACCUUGAAAAGUUGAAGCAACAAAGACAACCAAAUCAAAAAGGAAAAACACAGAUACCCUAAAGCUAACAGGGCUACAAUUAUCUCCUAAGGAAAAAGGUUCUUUUAAAGGCUACAACAAAACCUAAGGCUUUUGAAGGAUCUUCUAACCAAGGUCCACAACCUACAGUUAUCUUCCCUGUAACACCCAAGCGCAAAACAUAAAUAUGUUGGUAAAUAUUAAACGCUUGACCUAUUCAAACAAGACAAAUCAAAACUUCUCUCAAAGUAGGGCUCACCAAAUUAUGGACGACGCACAAUGCUACAGCACCUUCACAUGAAACACUACGCACAAGAUAACAUUUAAGGGAAAGAUCAUUACACAAUACUACAGGAAACAAAUUUAAAAUUUAUCUUGUUCAUUAAAAAAAGAAGCAACAACUUAUCAAUGAAUUAUUCAGAGAGCAUUUUUUAAGCUUAGAUCUUCAAUUGGAAACAACUAAGGACAGGAAAUUCAUUACAGGCUACUCUAGACUUCUUUGAUCACAUUAAUUCAAGCAGUACAAAUCCAGAACACUCUUUCAGAUUCAGCCCUCGAGGGUUACACCAGCAGGUAGAAUUUCCAGGCCCAAAAAUACGGCACAUGAAUAACGCAAUAAGUUCAACACCUAGAUUGUCAUGAUCAAUGGCAGAACAAUAUUCAAAGAAUUGAACAAAGAAUCAGAAACUUUUAUCAACUUAUUGAUUAUUGAUGCAAUAAUCAGCAAGUGUAGCUCACAGGAUUCGAACAUUUGACAUUUGUCCUAGUACGAUAUCUGGGGAUCCAAUGGGUCCUUAGACCACUACACAAAUGCCUCAUCGACAACCGCUAUAGAAUUAAAAUUCAAGAAAACCAAGCUUUUUAUGUUAAAAAACAUAUUCACAGAAUACUAUAAAAAUAUUUUCAAGUGCAGAACUAUUAAAAAAAUCAAACCUGGACGUACGGGAACAAUAUCAUCAUAAAUAGUUGACUGCAAACUCCUAAAAAUUACCGAUGUAACACCCUUAGAAGUAUUAUAUGACAAAUCAUGCAUAAGGUGUUGGUUCACAUAUUGUUCAAUUAAAGAUUCAAUUUGCCUAAAGGUUUAGGUGCUCAAUACACGAAGUUGUGACACUACAAGCCUGUGACAAAGAAGAUUAUGACAUGGAGAGGAAAAACUUAUAGAUAAGAAAACAUCAAUAUAGCAUAGAAGAAUUCUCCAAACCAAAUACGCAUAUCAUCACAACCAUCACACAGUCCCAAAGCAUCAAAGGUACUACAUAGACUCCUCAUAAGAGAGAAACUACUGCAUCCCAAAACUCGUAUGCAUCCUGAUACAUAAACACAGUAAUGAGCAUAUCCACAGAUAUCCAAAUCCAGAAGAAGCACAUACGAGGGGGACAAACAAGAAUAAAGUUUUUUAAUGGUAACAUAACCUAAGAAGCAACAGAAUUCCAUCGAUACCCCCAAUCACUGCUUCCACAGUACAGAACAUUAUCAUUUCCAAGUAAAGCAAGCUAAAUGCAUGGGAAACGCACGGAAUCUGAAAGAACUUAUAAACGAAAGACAAAUCCAAGAGUUCAAAAUCCAGAUACAGGUCACCAAGUUCAGAAUGUGACUGAAAAUGCAUACACUAAAUGUGAAAUGACCUUCAAAAUUCAACUCCGCGUCAUAAAAAGGAGAUACGGAAUUUAAGAAACUAAAUGAUUAAAUAAUGAAUCAAACCCCUUAGCUUAAAAGAUUGACAAAAAUUGGUUAGGAUCCAACUUCAACCUCCACAAAAUAAGGAGUCUCGACUUGAUUGUAAAUCUGAGGCAUAUGUAGUCACCUGAAGCAGGAUGAUGGACCCCAACUUCCGACAAACUGUGGAAGACCAUAUCAGUUUUAGCUAAAAAUAUUAGAACUUUCAAAAAACCAACACACAGAUACUCCAAAAAAGAACCAAAAGCCCAAGCAAGGUCUCAUUCCUCCCUUGAUAUCGCUUUAACAUGACCAUAUUCCAUAUAAAUGGACAAUUAGAUCAAAGUAACAUCCAAAUAAUCCUAAUGCAAGCACUUAUAAAUAUUUGUGUCAGCUAACAAAGAAAAAGGUGGUCCGGCACACGAGGAUCCCACCUGGUAGAGUUUGAUGAAAGUAGAUGUACACAACCUUACCCCAUACACAGAGAGGCUGUUUCCAUGUGUUGAUUUAAAUUUCCUGCAGAUUAAGGUGCUCACUAUAGGAGCGGGUAUCCCUGUGACAAAGAAAAAUCCAGUUAGGAAAACAAAAAACUUAGUAGAUCAUACAAAAGUUAGACAAAAACAUCGAUAAAAGGGUGACAGAAUUCUCCAAACCAAAAACACAGAUCAUCAGAACUAAAGACCAAGUGCCCAUAGCAACUGCCAUACAGUCUCCAUUUGAGUUAGAUCUCUAGUGCCUUAAAAGUGAGGCUUCCUAUACACAACAGAGAAACAGACAUAGCCAUACGUUGUAAACAUAACCAAAUCCACAGAACGAGCAGGGAAAAAAUGAGAAGAAUAUUCACAUUAACACCAACAAAACCUAAGUCAGACCACAAUGGCAUCAACACUACGGCACUACCAACUGCUGCUCCCACACACCAGCACAUAAAUAUUGCAAUUUAGCCUGAAACACCCAAGCGGAAAUCAUGGAAACCAGAAAAUUUCCACACUAUCAAAAUAAAUUUAUCAACGAAAAACAAAUCCUAGAGUUCAGAAUCCUGAUAGAGGUCACCAAAUUAUGCAACAGACUUGAUAAUAUGCACGACAUUGCUGUGAAGAAAUAAUUGGAGGCACUCAAAGAACAGCUUCUACAAUCUCAAUUUAUAGACAUCACGAUCUAAGCCAAAAUAAUUAUAGAAUAAUUUAUGAAAUAAAUUAAAUCAGUAACCCUGAGCACUUAGCCACACUAAUAAUCCUCAACAAAAAAAUGAGGAACUUUGUCCCAGAUCCUUCCUUCCAAACUCACUCCUUUCUUACAAUCUUCCGAUUCAGCAAAAACCUUAUCAUUUAGAUAGUGUUUCAGAUCAUUAGCAAUUUGAACAAGGCCUAUAAAUUGGGAAAGCGAGACUGUGGACAACGCGGUUAUGGCAGAACAUUGUAAGAAGCUUGUCGAGCAACUUCAGAUUUAUGGAGAACGCUACAACACAUGCAAGUGCGAUGUCAACCACAAAUUCGGAAUAAGUGAGAUCACUUCUGAAACUGCACAAGAGAAACAUCACAACUAAAUUCAUAUACUACAAUUCAUCACUAGAAAAAAAGGUUGAAUAGCCCAUCAAACAAAUAAAAUCAACUCCCGAAUUUGGCACCACUGUUUUCUCCAAUUCUAAUUGGACCAGAAGCCCCAGUAACCAGAUUAACAGAAGAUCAAUUCCAAAGGAAGGUCGCCAUGUGCAACAAGAUGAAAUACCUUCAAACUUCAAGGAAUAGAGUAAGGAAUUAGGGGGAGAAUCAUGCCAAAUUUUCAACAAAAAUAAAGCUCAAUAACUCCAAACCAAGACAUAGAUGAUCGCAAAAAGAUCCUGGGCCAAAACAAGAUAUAUUUCUUCCAUUCACAUGGCAAUUGAACCAGAUAUAAAAACCGGAAGGAAAAAACCCGACAGUGCAAUGUGGCAGCACUGUCCAACUAGCCAAAUACAAAACGAGCACUUAAAUAUUAGGCAGAGCGAUAUGGUAUUGAAGCUAACAAAAUCUGAUACCGAACAGCCCAACCACACUCCUAGACAAGAAACUCUCUGCAAACCCAAGCAAAAAUCAUUAAUGGAUAAAGCGAACGCUCAGAGUCAACAGACCAGAAAAGACAUAGGCAGGUCCAAGAAUUUAGAAUCCAGCUUGAAUUAGCACAUGAUACAAGACACGAGAACAUUACAUAAAACCAUCGGAACUCUCUGCAGAACACUCAUCUUCAGACUCCAGAGUGCUGCAAACAAAUAAACACAACUCGUAGACCUCCAUGAUGAAACGGAGAACAGUAUUUCUACAAAGACCAAACUCCAGACUCCAUAUUCAACCUUCCUGUGGAUUCAAGACUUGCUCCUGUUCCAGAUGAAGGUGGCGACUUCAAGCAGUAGGAGAGGACCUUUUUCGGCAGAAUAGUACUACAGCCUCAUAAAGUGUGAUGAAUAAAAAACUACAAUUAUCUGAAGAAAACGUACUGGCAACAUGAAAGUUUAAAAACAUCAGUACAAGCUUAGAAUUCUACAAACCAAGCCACGGAUCAUAAAAGUUAAGGGGGACCGAACCAAGCUAUUAUUCCUCCAUUGAUAUGGAAAAGUAGGUCAAAUAUGAUUCUUGUGCCCAGGUCAUAUGGUAUGUAAAACAAAAAACAGUACAACUCCAAAAUAGCCAAAUCCAGAACAUUCAUAAUUAAGGAUGUAAGAUCUAAAAUACCAUAUUGGAUACGUCCAACCACAGGUCCCACAUACAACUUGUCUCUGUGUAAAGGAAACACAACAAUUCAAAAUCCAGGAAGGUUUACCAAAUUCAUAAUUCGUAUAGCAAAAGAACAUUCCAAAGCUCCUCAGGAAACAUGAAGCUAGAAAAUUUCACAUUCCAACUCAAGUUGCAGAUUAUGCACAACAAAGCUAUCCCAUGUUCCCCGUUGAAAAGUCGAAGCAACCAAGACAGCCAAAUCAAGAAGGAAAAAACACAGAUAAAUAAAUACAGAAGCAAGGGCAAAUCAAGGACUACAAUUCUCUCCCAUGUAAUACCCAAGGGCAAAUCAUAAAUAUGUAAAUAGAAAAAAUAUUAGAUGCCUGACAUAUUCAAACAAGACAAAAGAAAACUUCCCUUAAAGUAGGGCUCACCAAAUUACGCAAGAGGCCCAAAGCUACAGAUCCUUCACAUUUAACAAUAUGCACAAGAAUCCAUGUAACACAAAGAUCAUUGCACAACACCACAGAAAUACAGAUUUAAAUUUAUACAGUAUAAUGUAAAUUAAAAAAGAACCAACAACUUAUCAAUGAGGUAUUCAAAUAGCAUCUUAAAGAUUAGAUCUUCGAUUGGAAACAGCUAAGGACAACAAGUUCAUUCCAGGCUCUAGAUUUCUUCGAUCACAUAAAUUCAAGCAGUUUAAACACCUAGAUAUAUUCAUGAGAAAGUGAAAAUUAUUAGGAUAUGGUUACAAAAUUCCUGAAAACAAAAACAAGAACUCAUGUUACAAAAAUAAAAUAAUCCUGAACCUAUCACCAGCUAUAAAUUCCAGAACAUACAUUCAGAGAUUUGUUCCUCGAGGGUUACACACUUACACCUAAAAGGUAGAAUUUCCAGGCCCAA
rnacentral:lncRNA from 1 species